UACGAAGGGGGCUAGCGUUGCUCGGAAUCACUGGGCGUAAAGCGCACGUAGGCGGCUUUUUAAGUCAGGGGUGAAAUCCUGGAGCUCAACUCCAGAACUGCCUUUGAUACUGGGAAGCUUGAGUCCGGAAGAGGUGAGUGGAACUCCCGGUGUAGCGGUGAAAUGCGCAGAUAUCGGGAGGAACACCAAUUGCGAAGGCAGCUCGCUGGGACGUUACUGACGCUGAGACGCGAAAGCGUGGGGAGCAAACAGG
rnacentral:rRNA from 1 species